rnacentral:rRNA from 1 species
CACGUAGGUCCCGAGCGUUGUCCGGAUUUAUUGGGCGUAAAGCGAGCGCAGGUGGUUUAUUAAGUCUGGUGUAAAAGGCAGUGGCUCAACCAUUGUAUGCAUUGGAAACUGGUAGACUUGAGUGCAGGAGAGGAGAGUGGAAUUCCAUGUGUAGCGGUGAAAUGCGUAGAUAUAUGGAGGAACACCGGUGGCGAAAGCGGCUCUCUGGCCUGUAGCUGACACUGAGGCUCGAAAGCGUGGGGAGCAAACAGG